GCCCAGAAAGCGCAGUGGGUCAGUGCAUCUGGCUGUUAACCAGAAGGUUGGUGGUUCAACCAACCAGGGAUGAGUGUGGGCA